rnacentral:rRNA from 1 species
AUGGCCUCCAGCUGCACAACUUUACCCCGGCCUCCAUUCUGCACAUCGUGGGUUAUGUUGCUUUAUGCGAACUGUUACUGGGUAUUGAGGCCCAUUUUGAACUGUGGAGAAAGUUGUUUCGCCUUGUCCCGCGCAACGACGAAGGAUCAAUAUUUGAAGUGGGGUGCCGAAAUAUGGCGCAUUGCCGAGACCGGAUACUUAUCCGGCACGCCGAAGAAGGCGUCGGAAGAGUGGACCUCUGAGUGGUUUUACCUUGAUGACCUCGUACUUCCAGAUCCGGUCCGGAGAGGCCUCCCCGAGUUUGCGAGUGUUCCUCUGAAGAAGCGCCAUAGCUGGCGCCCCCGGAGUCCCGAGGAGGAAGAUAGUGCGGAAGUUCGCCAACUCCUGAGCAAGAUCAGGACGCUUGCCCAGUCCGGGUAUACAGUAGUCGAAGUGACGGCGACCUCAUAG